rnacentral:rRNA from 1 species
AUUGAACGCUGGCGGCAUGCCUUACACAUGCAAGUCGAACGGUAACGCGGGGCAACCUGGCGACGAGUGGCGAACGGGUGAGUAAAGCAUCGGAACGUGCCCAGUAGUGGGGGAUAGCCCGGCGAAAGCCGGAUUAAUACCGCAUACGACCUAUGGGUGAAAGGGGGGGAUCGCAAGACCUCUCGCUAUUGGAGCGGCCGAUGUCAGAUUAGGUAGUUGGUGGGGUAAAGGCCUACCAAGCCGACGAUCUGUAGCUGGUCUGAGAGGACGACCAGCCACACUGGGACUGAGACACGGCCCAGACUCCUACGGGAGGCAGCAGUGGGGAACUUUGGACAAUGGGCGCAAGCCUGAUCCAGCCAUGCCGCGUGCGGGAAGAAGGCCUUCGGGUUGUGAACCGCUUUUGUCAGGGAAGAAAUCCUUUGGGUUAAUACCUCGGGGGGAUGACGGUACCUGAAGAAUAAGCACCGGCUAACUACGUGCCAGCAGCCGCCGUAA